rnacentral:rRNA from 1 species
GACGAACGCUGGCGGCGUGCUUAACACAUGCAAGUCGAACGGAAAGGCCCUGCUUUUGUGGGGUGCUCGAGUGGCGAACGGGUGUGUAACACGUGUGUAACCUGCCCUUUACUUUGGGAUAACUUCUUGAAACUGGGGCUAUUACCCGAUAUGAUCUCCUUCUGCAUGGUGUUUGUUUGUAAGUUUCGGCGGUUGGGGAUGGACUCGCUGCUUAUCAGCUUGUUGGUGUGGUAGUUGAUUACCAAGGAUUUGACGGGUAGCCGGCAUGAGAGGGUGACCGGACAAAAUGGGACUGAGAGAGGGGCCAGAAUGAAACGGGAGGCAGCAGUGGGGAAUAGUGCAAAAUGGGAGGAAGCAGGAAGCAGGAAGGGCGGGUGGGGGAUGACGGGCUUCGGGUUGUAAAGCGAGUGAGAAUGUGAAGAAGAGUGAGUGACGGUAAUGGGUAAAGAAGCACCGGCUAACUACGUG